rnacentral:rRNA from 1 species
AACGGAGGGGGCAAGUGUUACUCAUAAUGACUGGGCGUAAAGGGUACGUAGAUGGUUCUAUAACUGGUUUGUAAAAAAAGAAGGUUAAUCCCUUUGAGUACUUUCCAAAGUGUUGAACUUGAGUUUUGUUAAGGGUAAUGGUACUUUUAAAGAAGAGGUGAUAUUCGACGAUAUUAAAAGGACCAAUCAAAGGCGAAGGCGAUUACCUGAGUAAGACUGACAUUAAGGUACUGAAGCGUGGUGAUCAAAUCGGAAU